CACGAAGACUAUACUGUCUCCCCCACCUAAUCAGUGAAACUGAUCUUCCCGUGAAGAAGCGGGAAUCAACAUAUAAGACGAGAAGACCCCAUGGAGCUUCAAACUAAGUACCACCCACCAUUUAAAUAAACCACCACAGCCCGCUGGAGUUGACUACUUGUUUUUGGUUGGGGUGACCGCGGAGCAAAACACAACCUCCACAAUGAACGGGACUAACUCCCUAAUUCAAGACCCACAACUCAAUAAAUCAGCAUACUGACAUAAAUUGACCCAAGCCCAUUGAACAAUGAACCUAGUUACCCUGGGGAUAACAGCGCAAUCCAUUUAAAGAGCCCAUAUCGACAAAUGGGUUUACGACCUCGAUGUUGGAUCAGGGUAUCCCAGUGGUGCAGCCGCUACUAAAGGUUCGUUUGUUCAACGAUUAAAACCCUA
rnacentral:rRNA from 1 species